rnacentral:rRNA from 1 species
AAUCCAUAGGUUAAUGAGGCGAACCGGGGGAACUGAAACAUCUAAGUACCCCGAGGAAAAGAAAUCAACCGAGAUUCCCCCAGUAGCGGCGAGCGAACGGGGAGGAGCCCAGAGCCUGAAUCAGCAUGUGUGUUAGUGGAAGCGUCUGGAAAGGCGCGCGAUACAGGGUGACAGCCCCGUACACAAAAGCGCAUGUGCUGUGAGCUCGAUGAGUAGGGCGGGACACGUGGUAUCCUGUCUGAAUAUGGGGGGACCAUCCUCCAAGGCUAAAUACUCCUGACUGACCGAUAGUGAACCAGUACCGUGAGGGAAAGGCGAAAAGAACCCCGGCGAGGGGAGUGAAAAAGAACCUGAAACCGUGUACGUACAAGCAGUGGGAGCACAGGUUUACCUGUGUGACUGCGUACCUUUUGUAUAAUGGGUCAGCGACUUAUAUUCUGUAGCAAGGUUAACCGUAUAGGGGAGCCGUAGGGAAACCGAGUCUUAAUUGGGCGUUAAGUUGCAGGGUAUAGACCCGAAACCCGGUGAUCUAGCCAUGGGCAGGUUGAAGGUUGGGUAACACUAACUGGAGGACCGAACCGACUAAUGUUGAAAAAUUAGCGGAUGACCUGUGGCUGGGGGUGAAAGGCCAAUCAAACCGGGAGAUAGCUGGUUCUCCCCGAAAGCUAUUUAGGUAGCGCCUCGUGAAUUCAUCUCCGGGGGUAGAGCACUGUUUCGGCUAGGGGGCCAUCCCGGCUUACCAACCCGAUGCAAACUGCGAAUACCGGAGAAUGUUAUCACGGGAGACACACGGCGGGUGCUAACGUCCGUCGUGAAGAGGGAAACAACCCAGACCGCCAGCUAAGGUCCCAAAGUCAUGGUUAAGUGGGAAACGAUGUGGGAAGGCCCAGACAGCCAGGAUGUUGGCUUAGAAGCAGCCAUCAUUUAAAGAAAGCGUAAUAGCUCACUGGUCGAGUCGGCCUGCGCGGAAGAUGUAACGGGGCUAAACCAUGCACCGAAGCUGCGGCAGCGACGCUUAUGCGUUGUUGGGUAGGGGAGCGUUCUGUAAGCCUGUGAAGGU